rnacentral:rRNA from 1 species
GACGAACGCUGGCGGCGUGCCUAAUACAUGCAAGUUGAGCGCUGAAGGUUGGUACUUGUACCGACUGGAUGAGCAGCGCACGGGUGAGUAACGCGUGGGGAAUCUGCCUUUGAGCGGGGGACAACAUUUGGAAACGAAUGCUAAUACCGCAUAAAAACUUUAAACACAAGUUUUAAGUUUGAAAGAUGCAAUUGCAUCACUCAAAGAUGAUCCCGCGUUGUAUUAGCUAGUUGGUGAGGUAAAGGCUCACCAAGGCGAUGAUACAUAGCCGACCUGGGAGGGUGGUCGGCCACAUUGGGACUGAGACACGGCCCAAACUCCUACGGGAGGCAGCAGUAGGGAAUCGUCGGCAAUGGACGAAAGUCUGACCGAGCAACGCCGCGUGAGGGAAGAAGGUUUUCGGAUCGUAAAACUCUGUUGGUAGAGAAGAACGUUGGUGAGAGUGGAAAGCUCAUCAAGUGACGGUAACUACCCAGAAAGGGACGGCUAACUACGUG